GACGAACGCUGGCGGCGUGCCUAAUACAUGCAAGUAGAACGCUGAAGAGAGGAGCUUGCUCUUCUUGGACGAGUUGCGAACGGGUGAGUAACGCGUAGGUAACCUGCCUUGUAGCGGGGGAUAACUAUUGGAAACGAUAGCUAAUACCGCAUAACAAUGGAUGACACAUGUCAUUUAUUUGAAAGGGGCAAUUGCUCCACUACAAGAUGGACCUGCGUUGUAUUAGCUAGUAGGUGAGGUAACGGCUCACCUAGGCGACGAUACAUAGCCGACCUGAGAGGGUGAUCGGCCACACUGGGACUGAGACACGGCCCAGACUCCUACGGGAGGCAGCAGUAGGGAAUCUUCGGCAAUGGGGGCAACCCUGACCGAGCAACGCCGCGUGAGUGAAGAAGGUUUUCGGAUCGUAAAGCUCUGUUGUAAGUCAAGAACGAGUGUGAGAGUGGAAAGUUCACACUGUGACGGUAGCUUACCAGAAAGGGACGGCUAACUACGUGCCAGCAGCCGCGGUAAUACGUAGGUCCCGAGCGUUGUCCGGAUUUAUUGGGCGUAAAGCGAGCGCAGGCGGUUUGAUAAGUCUGAAGUUAAAGGCUGUGGCUCAACCAUAGUUCGCUUUGGAAACUGUCAAACUUGAGUGCAGAAGGGGAGAGUGGAAUUCCAUGUGUAGCGGUGAAAUGCGUAGAUAUAUGGAGGAACACCGGUGGCGAAAGCGGCUCUCUGGUCUGUAACUGACGCUGAGGCUCGAAAGCGUGGGGAGCGAACAGGAUUAGAUACCCUGGUAGUCCACGCCGUAAACGAUGAGUGCUAGGUGUUGGAUCCUUUCCGGGAUUCAGUGCCGCAGCUAACGCAUUAAGCACUCCGCCUGGGGAGUACGACCGCAAGGUUGAAACUCAAAGGAAUUGACGGGGGCCCGCACAAGCGGUGGAGCAUGUGGUUUAAUUCGAAGCAACGCGAAGAACCUUACCAGGUCUUGACAUCCCGAUGCUAUUUCUAGAGAUAGAAAGUUACUUCGGUACAUCGGUGACAGGUGGUGCAUGGUUGUCGUCAGCUCGUGUCGUGAGAUGUUGGGUUAAGUCCCGCAACGAGCGCAACCCCUAUUGUUAGUUGCCAUCAUUCAGUUGGGCACUCUAGCGAGACUGCCGGUAAUAAACCGGAGGAAGGUGGGGAUGACGUCAAAUCAUCAUGCCCCUUAUGACCUGGGCUACACACGUGCUACAAUGGUUGGUACAACGAGUUGCGAGUCGGUGACGGCAAGCUAAUCUCUUAAAGCCAAUCUCAGUUCGGAUUGUAGGCUGCAACUCGCCUACAUGAAGUCGGAAUCGCUAGUAAUCGCGGAUCAGCACGCCGCGGUGAAUACGUUCCCGGGCCU
rnacentral:rRNA from 1 species